AUGAAAUUGCCAUUGGGUCCAGAAAUAGUCAGUCCAGGCAACUUGUCUGUUCCGCUAACGGGUUCUCCGAUAUCGGGCUUGGGCCUGUAUUUGUUAUUACAAAAAAAAGUACAAUUUUGUGUCAUUUAUGCUAGGGUUCAGAAGAGUGAUUGUUGGACUUCUUCCAUAAACGAAACCUUCUCCCUUUUCUCUCUUGUGGCGCUCAAUUUCACUUCUCCUUCUUCUUCGUUCAUCACCUUCCACUACCGUGACACCGUGGCUCGAUACGAUUCUCGCUAUCUCACUCUCUUUUUUACGCGAUUCAACCUUGCUUUCAACCUAAACUCUUAG